rnacentral:rRNA from 1 species
AUUGAACGCUGGCGGCAGGCCUAACACAUGCAAGUCGAGCGGAGCGGCGGACAGGUGAGUAAUGCCUAGGAAUCUGCCUGGUAGUGGGGGAUAACGUCCGGAUACGGGCGCUAAUACCGCAUACUAUCAGAUGAGCGUAGGUCGGGUGAGCUAGUUGGUGGGGUAAAGGCUGACCAAGGCGACGAUCCGUAACUGGUCUGAGAGGAUGAUCAGUCACACUGGAACUUGGAAACGGUCCAGAGUCCUACGGGAGGCAGCAGUGGGGAAUAUGGGACAAUGGGCGAAAGCCUGAGCCAGCCAUGCCGCGUGUGUGAAGAAGGUAUUCGGAUUGUAAAGCACUAUAAGGUGGGAGGCGUUACCAGCAGAAUAAGCACCGGCUAACUACGUGCCAGCAGCCGCGGUAAUUC